rnacentral:rRNA from 1 species
UUCUGCUCAAUGGAUUCUAAAUAGCCGCAGUACUCUGACUGUGCAAAGGUAGCAUAAUCAAUUGGCUUUUAAUUAAAGUCUGGAAUGAAUGAAAGCAUGGGUAGCAACUGUCUAACUAUUAUAAUAUGUCGAAUUUAAUAAGUAAGUGAAAAUGCUUACGCCCAUAAAAAAGACGAGAAGACCCUAGAAACUUUAAUAUUUAUUUUGUUGGGGCGACAGAAUUACAAAAAACUAAUUUUAUUGUACAAGACGCUGAGCAGUAAGAAUAAGUUACUCUAGGGAUAACAGCAUAAUUUUUAUAGUUUGUGACCUCGAUGUUGGACUAGGUAUAUAAUUUUUUAAAAGGAAAUUUGAAUGCUCUGUUCGAGCUGGAAAACCUACGUGAUCUGAUUCAGACCGGA